GGGAAAGUCAUAGGGGCUAUGGGGUUGGCUUGAAACCAUCUUUGGAGGGUUCAACUCCUUCCUUUCUCG